GUGACAGCGUCAUAACAUUAGUCUCGUAUAUGAAAUGCGAUCUCGAACAAGGACAUAUAACAAAAAACAUUUCAACCGGAAUUCCGUUAAGGAUCAGAGCAAUCAGAACCAGCCGAUAGUUGAGACAAUUGAUCAAUCUAAUGACGGUGAAUCGUGGAUAUUAGCUGACGGUUUCUGCAAGAAAAGCGCGUGAUAUGUACUGGGACAAAAUCUGAGAUUGCGAUAAAAGGAAAUAUCAAUAAAACGUGCCGCUGCGUUAUUUCGGUGGAUUUUUCAGAAUGGAAUGGAAUCUCUUUUGGAAAGUUGCCUAUGUUCAGGUGUACCUUUUGUUAUUACCCCACGUGGCUUUUGGGGAUGCAUGCACAGAUGGCAGAUGUGAAUGUACGGACAACAUAAUUCAAUGCCGGAACACGACCGCGAAACCCUUGACCACGAUACCAAUAUUAGAUACCAGAAGGAUGGACAAGAUUGAAAAAAUAAUGAUAGAAUCACAGAAUAUAACGUACCUCAAUUCAUCAGCACUGAAACACUACUACAAGCUCUAUGAACUAAUUCUUAUAAAAUCUAAUGUGAGGCGGAUUGCUGACGACGCCUUCAAAAAUAACACGGAACUACAUUUCCUGUAAGUGCAU